CUUACCAUGCAGUCGAACGAUGAAGCCCAGCUUGCUGGGUGGAUUAGUGGCGAACGGGUGAGUAACACGUGAGUAACCUGCCCUUAACUCUGGGAUAAGCCUGGGAAACUGGGUCUAAUACCGGAUAGGAGCGUCCACCGCAUGGUGGGUGUUGGAAAGAUUUAUCGGUUUUGGAUGGACUCGCGGCCUAUCAGCUUGUUGGUGAGGUAAUGGCUCACCAAGGCGACGACGGGUAGCCGGCCUGAGAGGGUGACCGGCCACACUGGACUGAGACACGGCCCAGACUCCUACGGGAGGCAGCAGUGGGGAAUAUUGCACAAUGGGCGCAAGCCUGAUGCAGCGACGCCGCGUGAGGGAUGACGGCCUUCGGGUUGUAAACCUCUUUCAGUAGGGAAGAGACGAAAGUGACGGUACCUGCAGAAGAAGCACCGGCUAACUACGUGCCAGCAGCCGCGGUAAUACGUAGGGUGCGAGCGUUAUCCGGAAUUAUUGGGCGUAAAGAGCUCGUAGGCGGUUUGUCGCGUCUGUCGUGAAAGUCCGGGGCUUAACCCCGGAUCUGCGGUGGGUACGGGCAGACUAGAGUGCAGUAGGGGAGACUGGAAUUCCUGGUGUAGCGGUGGAAUGCGCAGAUAUCAGGAGGAACACCGAUGGCGAAGGCAGGUCUCUGGGCUGUAACUGACGCUGAGGAGCGAAAGCAUGGGGAGCGAACAGGAUUAGAUACCCUGGUAGUCCAUGCCGUAAACGUUGGGCACUAGGUGUGGGGACCAUUCCACGGUUUCCGCGCCGCAG
rnacentral:rRNA from 1 species